UAAGGACAGUGUUCUUACAUUGGGGUACUU
rnacentral:piRNA from 1 species